rnacentral:rRNA from 1 species
UACGUAGGGGGCAAGCGUUAUCCGGAUUUACUGGGUGUAAAGGGGGCGCAGACGGCGAUGCAAGCCAGGAGUGAAAGCCCGGGGCCCAACCCCGGGACUGCUCUUGGAACUGCGUGGCUGGAGUGCAGGAGGGGCAGGCGGAAUUCCUGGUGUAGCGGUGAAAUGCGUAGAUAUCAGGAGGAACACCGGUGGCGAAGGCAGCCUGCUGGACUGCAACUGACGUUGAGGCGCGAAAGCGUGGGGAGCAAACAGG